CCGCGCUAGACGGGGAGCUAGCGGUGCCCUGUACCCGCAAUCCGCUAUAGCGGGGUUGAAUGCCUCCCCCAGGCAGGGCCGGUGGGCCCAUAUCCCGGGCGGAUGAUAUUGAGGGUUGGGUCCCACGCGGCGUAGACUUGCGAACCCCGCCAGGCCGGAAGGAGCAACGGUAAGCAGGACACUACGGGUGCCGUGGGAGCGCCUGACCUGAGUCACCACCUGGGACACGCUCAGCGUCUUGUGUCGAAGGAAGGUGCGCGG
rnacentral:SRP_RNA from 1 species